rnacentral:lncRNA from 7 species
AGGAAUAACUGCUCCAUUGUUUGGGACUCUACAGGUGAUCAAGGUGCUGCGCUGAGUAAACAGCUGCUGGCAAUGCAAGGUUUAAAGAGCUGACAGCCUCUUCUCCUGAACCACAGAGGUGGCUCAGGGGGACUGCAUAAAGAAAGAACAGUGCUGCAGUGUCACAGGCUGCACAGGGAGGUGGUGGAGUCACUGUCCCUGGAGGUGUUCCAGAGCCGUGUGGAUGUGGCACUGAGGACGUGAUUCCCACCUGAAGAGAGGGACCCUGUCUUCAUGAGUAUGGAGCAGAAUGGACAGGAGGGAGGAAAAGGAUGUAUCGCAUGUCUGUGCAGUACAGAAGACACCUCCAGCUGAACAAUCUGGAACCUUGUCCUUGACUGGAGUAGACAAAAUUUCAGAAGUAGUUUGUUCUUGGACUCAUGCCACCUGACUCUGAUUCCUCCUGGGAAGCCAAAGAAAGUGACUGACAAGACUACCUGGUGAACUUUUUUCCAUCCACUGGACACAGAGUCUCUUUUUGAUGGGGCUGUAAUACAUAACAGCAGAUCCACUUGGUCAUCUGGAAUCAUGAUUGCCAACACAGAGCCAUGUGUCACUGCAGGGGAAGAAUAACAGGCAAAAGGAUGAUGUGGAUUUUCCAUGCUCUCCUGCUGCCAUUUAUUAUUACACUGCACAAGUUGGGUACAGCAGCUCAGACAGCUUCCUGCAUCAAAGACUGAAUACCUUGAAGAGAUGACACCCAGCAUUCCAGCCCCAUGCCUCAGUUUCCUCAGCUGAGAAAGACAGAUCACUGGCUUCGCAAUUCAUUAUGCUCUAUGCGAUGGAGAGGUGGUCUUGGGUGAGUCUUCCAACACAGAAAUAUGAAACAGGCCUUUGUCUUGGAUCCCUAUUGCAAGCCAGGACCAGCAGGACUGGAUGAAAAAGAGAGAAGAGCAAGUAACAGAACUUAGCUUGACUGAAGCUCAGUGGCAGUCCCACAUUUCAUCAGUAUGGUGCACACUCUUCUCCUACAGCCAUGUGGACAGGUUCAUUUAUGUUGUGUUUGCGAGCAGUUUACUGUUGUCUUUUGUUUUUAAUAGACAUCACGUUGUCCAUAAAUCCAGUAGGUACAGUAUGAAGAAAGUCACGGAUUAUAGCAUUUACACAGAUUUAGAGAUCCCACACAUGAGAAAAUAGAUGUGAUGGGUAUAGUGAAAGCAGUAAGAAAGCUGGAAAAGAAGGAGCAGGAGUAGAAGGAAAACACCUCAUUACUUGGAGUUUAAGUUAAUAAAAUCAUUGAGUUGUCUGAGUGUUGGUGUCAU